GACGAACCGUGCGACCGUUGUUCGGAAUCACUGGGCUUAAAGGGCGCGUAGGCGGCAUAUCAAGUCCGGGGUGAAAGCCCCCAGCUUAACUGGGGAAGUGCCUUGGAUACUGGUGUGCUCGAGGGAGGUAGGGGUCGAGGGAACUUCUGGUGGAGCGGUGAAAUGCGUUGAUAUCAGAAGGAACGCCGGUGGCGAAAGCGCUCGACUGGACCUUUUCUGACGCUGAGGCGCGAAAGCUAGGGGAGCAAACGGG
rnacentral:rRNA from 1 species